rnacentral:tRNA from 1 species
GGGGAUAUAGCUCAGUGGCAGAAUGCGGGCUUAGGAUGCACGGGGUCCUGGGUUCAAUCCCCAGUGCCUCCG